GCUCCUGGGUGCGCGGGGCUGCCGCCGGCGGGGCCGAACUGCGGGGGCACGGGGGGCCGGGGCCGCGCUCGCCUCUGGAUUCUUUCUUACAUCGUGAACAUCUCUCCUGUGCAUGAAAUUGCUGUGAGAGAAAAUGGAUUUUGUCAGUUUGCUGCUUCUUUUCUUCUCGGCAGCGGCUGUGAGCAGAGCUCAGGUGCAGCAGGAGCUGUCGGCAGAGACCAGCGAGGGCACCGGCAUUAACAUCACCUGCUCACACCCCAACAUAAAGACCGGCGAUUACAUCCACUGGUACCGCCAGCUCCCGGGCCGAGGACCCGCAUUCCUCGUCAGCGCAGUUAGAGGUUCCAAGGAGGUUCCCGACCCGCAAGGGCGGCUGUCGGUGUCGUCGGACCACCGCUCCAGCGCCCUGUGGCUCGCCCGGCCCCGGCGCGGCGACGCGGCCGUGUAUUACUGCGCCGUGGCGCACGGGGAGCGAUGCCGGGGCUGCGGCCGGGCACGAACCGCUUUGGGCGGGACGGGGGCACAGUGCCGUCCGGGCCCGAAGGGGGCGCUGCCUGCAUGGCCGCCAAACUCCAUCCUGACCAGGGUGCACCUCCAUGAGUUCUCGAGAGAAAUGAGCACGGCACACACAGCAGCCAUUGACUGA